AGAUUGUUUGAUGGAAGGAAUGUUUGGUGAUAAUAACCACUUAUAUCACAGAAGUAAUGAAUAUUAGAGUUUUUACAAAUCAAUGUUGUUGCAAUAAAGUUCCUUAACCCUUACUAAAUGAAAAUGAACACUACCUGGCUUAUGCAAUUUGAGAUUGGAUACUAAAACGACUAGUUGUUGAUGAACGAUGAAUAGUGAUUCAAAGAAGUCUCUGGAAUAUUUUACAUGUUUCUUUGGUCCAAUACAUCAAGUCUCAUCCAUGCAUCACACAUAUCCUUUUUAUCAUUG